rnacentral:rRNA from 1 species
UACGAAGGGGGCUAGCGUUGCUCGGAAUGACUGGGCGUAAAGGGCGCGUAGGCGGAAGUGACAGUCAGACGUGAAAUUCCUGGGCUCAACCUGGGGGCUGCGUUUGAUACGUUACGUCUAGAGUGAGGAAGAGGGUCGUGGAAUUCCCAGUGUAGAGGUGAAAUUCGUAGAUAUUGGGAAGAACACCGGUGGCGAAGGCGGCGGCCUGGUCCUUUACUGACGCUGAGGCGCGAAAGCGUGGGGAGCAAACAGG